GAUCCAACCCUAUCUCUAUCUCGAGACAUCAAAUAUCAAUAGAGUGAUUGUACCUUCUCGAUACAACCAAAUCACUGUAACCAAUCAAGAACGAUCAACGUCAGGAAGACACUCACAUCUCUAUAAUGAUGGAAGAUCUCUAGACUUAAUAUUUAGUGAGAAGAUUUAAGUUUAGAUCUCUUCUAAAUCAAUAGAUUUGAUAUCCAACUAAUUAAAUUCAGAUCAGCAUAUCAACAUGUCUAACCAGCCU
rnacentral:lncRNA from 1 species